CACUCCUACGGGAGGCAGCAGUGAGGAAUAUUGGACAAUGGGUGGAAGCCUGAUCCAGCCAUCCCGCGUGCAGGAAGACGGCCCUAUGGGUUGUAAACUGCUUUUAUCUGGGGAUAAACCUACUUACGUGUAAGUAGCUGAAGGUACCAGAAGAAUAAGCACCGGCUAACUCCGUGCCAGCAGCCGCGGUAAUACGGAGGGUGCAAGCGUUAUCCGGAUUUAUUGGGUUUAAAGGGUCCGUAGGCGGACUGAUAAGUCAGUGGUGAAAUCCGACAGCUUAACUGUCGAACUGCCAUUGAUACUGUUAGUCUUGAGUAAGGUUGAAGUGGCUGGAAUAAGUAGUGUAGCGGUGAAAUGCAUAGAUAUUACUUAGAACACCAAUUGCGAAGGCAGGUCACUAAGUCUUAACUGACGCUGAUGGACGAAAGCGUGGGGAGCGAACAGGAUUAGAAACCCCAGUAGUCCCAUGAU
rnacentral:rRNA from 1 species